rnacentral:rRNA from 1 species
GACGAACGCUGGCGACGUGCUUAACACAUGCAAGUCGAGCGACGCUCUUCCUUCGGGGAGAUGACGGAGCGGCGAACGGGUGAGUAACACGUGGGCAACCUGCCCCUAGCUCUGGGACAACACCGGGAAACCGGUGCUAAUACCGGAUACGACAUCGAGCGGCAUCUCUCGAUGUGGAAAGUUUUUUCGGCUAGGGAUGGGCCCGCGGCCUAUCAGCUUGUUGGUGGGGUCAUGGCCCACCAAGGCGACGACGGGUAGCCGGCCUGAGAGGGCGACCGGCCACACUGGGACUGAGACACGGCCCAGACUCCUACGGGAGGCAGCAGUGGGGAAUAUUGCGCAAUGGGCGAAAGCCUGACGCAGCGACGCCGCGUGAGGGAUGACGGCCUUCGGGUUGUAAACCUCUUUCAGCAGGGACGAAUUCAGACGGUACCUGCAGAAGAAGCACCGGCCAACUACGUG